rnacentral:miRNA from 1 species
UAUUUUAAUUGCGUGAGUCUGAUGCAUGAUCGUCUUAAAAGUUUUCCUUUUAUCGCCCGUAUUUUUUUAGACGUUCAUCUUAGCAGUUUCUUUUUUUUAUUUUAAGACGAUCAUGCAUCAGACUCACGCAAUUAAAAU